CGACCGGGUGAGUAACACGUGACUAACCUACCCUAAAGUGGGGAAUAACCUCGGGAAACCGGGGCUAAUACCGCAUAACAUUGCGGGGCUGAAAUGCCCUGUAUUCAAAGGAGCAAUUCGCUUUAGGAGGGGGUCGCGGUUGAUUAGCUAGUUGGUGAGGUAAUGGCUCACCAAGGCGAUGAUCAAUAGCCGGCCUGAGAGGGCGCACGGCCACACUGGAACUGAAACACGGUCCAG
rnacentral:rRNA from 1 species